ensembl:lncRNA
UUAAUAGCUUCACAAAUUUAUUCCUUUCAGAAAAUAACUUACAUUCCAGAACACACACAUUGUGACAGCAUAUUUCCAGUGUUCCUUUUCUUGUAAUUUUUCUUAAGUUGCAUUUACACAGGAAGCCCAAUUCUGAUCUUUUGGCCCCAAUAUUGGCAAAAGAUCUGAUCUGAUUGGGCAAGAGAUCAGAAUUGGGCAACCGGUGUGAACGUAGCCUUACACACAGUAAAGAGGUUAGACAUUGCAUUAUCAGAAGGAUUUCUGGCGGAUAUAUUUACACGUACAGUACAUUCAGAUCAACAUCAUAAAAAGGUCCAUCCUAUCAGAUCAGUGAUAAAAAGGUCCAUCCUAUCAGAUCAGCGUGAUAAAAAGGUCCAUCCUAUCAGAUCAGCGUGAUAAAAAGGUCCAUCCUAUCAGAUCUGCGUGAUAAAAAGGUCCAUCCUAUCAGAUCAGUGAUAAAAAGGUCCAUCCUAUCAGAUCUGCGUGAUAAAAAGGUCCAUCCUAUCAGAUCAGUGAUAAAAAGGUCCAUCCUAUCAGAUCUGCGUGAUAAAAAGGUCCAUCCUAUCAGAUCAGUGAUAAAAAGGUCCAUCCUAUCAGAUCAGUGAUAAAAAGGUCCAUCCUAUCAGAUCAGUGAUAAAAA